GCCAGGAUCCUUCGAGGGGUCGAAGCAAUGCGGCAGCUUUCACGGCUUCUUUUUGAAACGACACCCAAUCCGAAGCUAAAGCGGGUUCUUUUUUUUUUUUUAAAAAAAACGCCACCUUUUAUUAUUUUAUAAAAAAAUCAAUUAAUUAAUCGAUCCAUUAAUUUUUGAAUUACUGUUUUCGAUGCUUCUGUUCGAACCUUUGGGCCAUCGAUGAACUGCUGCUGCUCUGUUCAGUUACUGCGAGCAUUUGGCCCUCAAUCGAUCCGCGAGCUCCAAAGCCAUUGAAACUGCAAGUCAGUGGAAAUGGAGACGAACUCUUCAACAUCAACAAAGAUGGCUCCUGCCGAGUCAUCAGAAAA